UCCUACGGGAGGCAGCAGUCGGGAAUUUUGGACAAUGGGCGAAAGCCUGAUCCAGCAAUGCCGCGUGAGUGAUGAAGGCCUUAGGGUUGUAAAGCUCUUUUACCCGGGAUGAUAAUGACAGUACCGGGAGAAUAAGCCCCGGCUAACUCCGUGCCAGCAGCCGCGGUAAUA
rnacentral:rRNA from 1 species